GAAUUACAGAAAUAACUAGGAUAUUAUUAGGCGUAUAACUUAGAGUAAUCUAGCUAUCCUAUAGAAUCAGUCUAGCCUGAUUUAGGCAGUGUAUUCAUAGUAAGGUGUAGGUAGGAUAAAUCCCCGAUUUGUAGGGAUUACUACGAGCUGGAUCUGCAUCCUAAUGAUGCAGACUGUGUAUAUAUGUAAAGGAAACCACAGAAAUAAGAAUUAUCAUACCAGAAUCAUUCUGAUUUCUAGAAUUCUGCAUGGUAUCAGAGCUUAGAUUCAGACCUUGAAUCCAGCUCCAUCAACCUUCCUUCUUCUAUCUCUCUCACUCUCAUCUGAUGGCGAACACGAACGAUGAAGUUCAAGUCCCAUCCUCGCCAUCUGUGACUUCAGGAGAUCCCUCCCAGAAGCACUCAAACCCAGCAGCCUCAUCAGACACAGUCCUGGGCUGUAUCACAAACCAUCGCCUCAACGGAGAUAACUAUCUCCAAUGGUCCUCGUCAGUACUGAAGUUUAUCUCAGGCAAGGGGAAAAGAGGCUACCUAACUGGAAAGACCAAGCAGCCAGCAGAGGAUGACCCAGAAUUUAUCAACUGGGAUAUUGAGGACAAUAUGGUCCAGUCGUGGCUUCUGAAUUCAAUGACCACGUCCAUUGGUGAGAAAUUUCUAAGCCAGAAGUACAAGGCGUUUGUGGGAACUCUUGACAACACAGAAAUCCCUCACUCCAUCGAAGAAGCUAUGAAAAUACCUCACUGGAGGGCAGCAGUGUUGGAAGAGAUAAGAGCAUUGCUCAAGAAUCAGACGUGGGAUACAGUACAGCUACCAGCUGGAAAAUCCACAGUGGAUUGCAAAUGGAUAUUCACAGUGAAGUAUACCUCAGAAGGAAAGAUUGAGAGGUAUAAGGCUCGUCUUGUAGCCAGAGGAUUCACACAGUGCUAUGGAGUGGACUACGAGGAGACAUUUGCUCCUGUAGCCAAGCUAAAAACUGUGAGAGUCCUUCUAAGCAUUGCAGUAAAUCUAGAUUGGCCCCUAUACCAAUUAGAUGUGAAGAAUGCGUUCCUAAACGGGGAUCUAAACGAAGAGGUGUAUAUGAAUGUCCCGGCAGGUGUUGCCACUGAACCGGGAAUGGUGUGCAGACUGAAGAAGGCACUGUAUGGCCUGAAGCAAUCUCCGCGAGCGUGGUUUGAGAGGUUCUCUCAGUCCAUGAAGAGAUACGGGUAUUAUCAGUGUCAAACUGAUCAUACCAUGUUUGUAAAGCAAAAUGAGGAAGGAAGAAAAGCCAUCCUCAUUGUAUAUGUUGAUGACAUUAUCAUCACAGGGGAUGAUGAAAAAGAAAUCAGACAGCUUAAGGAGAAGCUAGCACUGGAAUUCGAGAUAAAAGACCUAGGAAAUUUGAGGUAUUUCCUAGGUAUUGAAGUGGCACGAUCUAGUAAGGGACUAAGUUUAUCCCAGCGGAAAUACGUCUUAGAUUUGUUAAAGGAGACUGGGAUGAUUGGGUGCAAACCUGCGAGCACGCCAAUGGAGCACAACUUGAAGUUUGCUCUUGGCCAAGAAGCAGCACCAGUGGAGAGGGGGAGUUACCAGAAAUUGGUAGGAAAGCUAAUAUACUUAGCUCACACACGUCCAGAUAUCUCGUUUCCAGUAAGCAUUGUGAGCCAACAUAUGCACAAUCCAAAUGAAGAGCAUAUGGAGGCAGUGAUGAGAAUUUUAAGGUAUUUAAAAGGCACACCAGGUGUUGGGUUGCUGAUCCAGAAACACACUGGACGCAGAAUUUCGAUUUAUACGGAUGCGAGUUGGGCUGGAGACCUUACAGAUAGAAGGUCAAUCUCAGCUUACUGCACCUACGUAUGGGGGAACUUAGUGACCUGGCGGAGUAAGAAACAAACGGUGGUCUCAAGGAGCAGUGCUGAAGCAGAGUAUAGGGCACUGGCAGAUGGGAUUUGUGAAGGAGUUUGGCUAAGGCGCAUUCUAAGGGAACUCAAGAUGGAGGAUGAGGGUCCUGUUAGAGUGCUGUGUGACAGUCAGGCUGCACUAAGUAUUGUGAAGAAUCCAGUUCAUCAUGAUCGUACUAAACAUGUUGAACUGGAUCGUCAUUUCAUCUCUGAGAAAGUAAACAACAAGGAGUUCGAGAUGGAGUACGUUCCAUCUAAGCAGCAGAUUGCAGAUAUUCUCACGAAGGCUCUACCUAGAGAUAUGUUCGAUGAUCUACAAGGCAAGCUUGGCCUCCAUAACAUCUACAGCCAAGCUUGCGGUAUCUACAGCCAAACUUGAGGGGGAGUGUUGAAUUACAGAAAUAACUAGGAUAUUAUUAGGCGUAUAACUUAGAGUAAUCUAGCUAUCCUAUAGAAUCAGUCUAGCCUGAUUUAUGCAGUGUAUUCAUAGUAAGUGGUAGGUAGAAUAAAUCCCUGAUUUGUAGGGAUUACUACGAGCUGGAUCUGCAUCCUAAUGAUGCAGACUGUGUAUAUAUGUAAAGGAAACCACAGAAAUAAGAAUUA
rnacentral:lncRNA from 1 species